AAAUAUGAAGCAAUAAAUUGCAUUUAAUUUCGACUUAAAAAUUAGAGUUGUUUUCUCCUUAUUUA
rnacentral:tRNA from 1 species